UACGUAGGGGGCGAGCGUUGUCCGGAUUUAUUGGGCGUAAAGAGCUCGUAGGCGGUUUGGUAAGUCGGGUGUGAAAUCUCCACGCUCAACGUGGAGGGGCCACUCGAUACUGCCAUGACUCGAGUCCGGUAGAGGAGUGUGGAAUUCCCGGUGUAGCGGUGAAAUGCGCAGAUAUCGGGAGGAACACCCGUGGCUAAGGCGGUUCUCUAGUACGGUACUGACGCUGAGACGCGAAAGCGUGGGGAGCGAACAGG
rnacentral:rRNA from 1 species